GACGAACGCUGGCGGCGUGCCUAAUACACGCAAGUCGAGCGCAGGAAAUCAUCUGAACCCUUCGGGGGGACGUUGAUGGAAUGAGCGGCGGACGGGUGAGUAACACGUAAAGAACCUGCCCAUAGGUCUGGGAUAACCACGAGAAAUCGGGGCUAAUACCGGAUGUGUCAUCGGACCGCAUGGUCCGCUGAUGAAAGGCGCUCCGGCGUCGCCCAUGGAUGGCUUUGCGGUGCAUUAGCUAGUUGGUGGGGUAACGGCCCACCAAGGCGACGAUGCAUAGCCGACCUGAGAGGGUGAUCGGACACACUGGGACUGAGACACGGCCCAGACUCCUACGGGAGGCAGCAGUAGGGAAUCUUCCACAAUGGACGAAAGUCUGAUGGAGCAACGCCGCGUGAACGGUGAAGGCUUUCGGGUCGUAAAGUUCUGUUGUAAGGGAAGAACAAGUGCCGCAGGCAAUGGCGGCACCUUGACGGUACCUUGCGAGAAAGCCACGGCUAACUACGUGCCAGCAGCCGCCGUAA
rnacentral:rRNA from 1 species